UACAGAGGUCCCAGGCGUUGUUCGGAUUCACUGGGCGUAAAGGGUGCGUAGGUGGUGAGGUAAGUCGGAUGUGAAAUCUCCGAGCUCAACUCGGAAAUGGCAUUGGAAACUGCCUUGCUAGAGGAUUGGAGGGGAGACUGGAAUGCUUGGUGUAGCGGUGAAAUGCGCAGAUAUCGGGAGGAACACCAGUGGCGAAGGCGAGUCUCUGGGAUGAUACUGACGCUGAUGCUCGAAAGCUAGGGGAGCAAACGGG
rnacentral:rRNA from 1 species